AUUGAACGCUGGCGGCAUGCUUUACACAUGCAAGUCGAGCGGCAGCGCGGGGGCAACCCUGGCGGCGAGCGGCGAACGGGUGAGUAAUGCAUCGGAACGUGUCCCGUAGUGGGGGAUAACGCCGCGAAAGCGGCGCUAAUACCGCAUAUGCUCUACGGAGGAAAGGGGGGGACCCGCAAGGGCCUCCCGCUAUGGGAGCGGCCGAUGUCCGAUUAGCUUGUUGGUGAGGUAAAGGCUUACCAAGGCGACGAUCGGUAGCUGGUCUGAGAGGAUGAUCAGCCACACUGGGACUGAGACACGGCCCAGACUCCUACGGGAGGCAGCAGUGGGGAAUUUUGGACAAUGGGGGCAACCCUGAUCCAGCCAUGCCGCGUGCGGGAAGAAGGCCUUCGGGUUGUAAACCGCUUUUGUCCGGGAAGAAAAGGCAUUCCCUAAUACGGGGUGCUCUUGACGGUACUGGAAGAAUAAGCACCGGCUAACUACGUGC
rnacentral:rRNA from 1 species